rnacentral:sRNA from 1 species
UUAGAAAAAAGAGUAGGUAUGUAUGUGUUUUAAGACUUUGAUGCUUUCAUGUUGUCCUUGAAAUUCCAACUAUUAUACAAAAUGAAUGAUGGCAGGUAUAUAGUAUGUUUUUAGAAUACUGUAUUAUAAUUUCUAAAACUUUAAAAGAUCACACUUCAGAAACUCAAAACCAUUUAUAGGAAAUCAGUUUUCCUGAUUCAUAGCAUUUUGGAGUUAAAGAGAAGACUAAAAAUUACUUGCUCUUGUGAUGGUGGUUAGAUGACUAUAUAUGUCAGAACUCAUUGAACCAUACACUUAAAUAUUUUUGGUAUAUAAAUUAUAUGUCUAUAAAGAGCUCAUUUUUUUUUUUUUUUUGAGACAGAUUCUCUCUGUGUUGCCCAGGCAGAGGUUGCAGUGAGCUGAGAUUGUGCCACUGCACUCCAGCAUGGGCAGCAGAGCCAGAGCAUGUCUCAAAAGAAAAAAAAAA